GCUGAAGGUCUUGGUAGUGGGAUAGAGAGUUUGGAUACGUGAUGAUAUUGAGGAGGAUGCCUUCCGAGGUCUAUGUGCCAUGGUUUCUCCCUGGCAUGAUAUACCAUUACACUUGGGUGAUGGUGUUUUUAAUUUCAUUGUUAAAAUACCCAAAGAAACAAGUGCAAAGAUGGAGGUUGCUACUGACGAGUCAUACACUCCCAUAAAGCAAUAUACAAAGAAAGGAAAACUUCAA